rnacentral:rRNA from 1 species
CACCGCGGUUAUACGAGAGGCCCAAGUUGAUAGUUUACGGCGUAAAGAGUGGUUAGGAAAAAAUUAACACUAAAGCCGAAUGCCCUCAAAGCUGUUAUACGCAUCCGAAGGCAAGAAGUUCAACCACGAAAGUGGCUUUAUUAAACCCUGAACCCACGAAAGCUAGGAAA